rnacentral:rRNA from 1 species
UUCAUUGGCGACUGUGUGCGUGCGAUGCGUUGGAAGUGGCUUUUGUCGCUCCAUGUGUUGUUUCUGCGUGCGGUUGCUGGUGCCCUGUGUUGCGGUGGGACGUCAGAGUCAGUUCGUAUGCUGCGGGAAACGUCUGUUGAGGAGGUAGGUCGGGAGCUUGCUCUUGUCUGUUAUAUCUUGGCGGAUUGUGGUCGUGGUUGGGACUGAGGUGCCUACAACGUGCUUUGGAGUGUUCCGGGUUCUCACGUGGUGUGCUGUUUGUAUAGCUUGCUAUGCUUGUGGUGUUCACCGUUUGAUUGAGUCUGGUUUGUGCUUCUUGCCGUUCGGGACUUUGACGAAAUGGAGCGAUUCGGCCCGUCUUGAAACACGGACCAAGGAGUCUAACAUGUGUGCAAGUGUUAGGGUGUGGAAACCCGAGCGCGCAAUGAAAGUAAAGGACAGUGUACUCUGUCUGAGGUAGGAAACCUUUCUUCUGAGAGGUGGCACUAUCGACCGAUCCCGAACCUUCGUGGUGAAAGAUUUGAGUAUGAGCACAUAUGUUGGUACCCGAAAGAUGGUGAACUAUG